GAUUGCAAAUUCUAUGCUUAUGACCCAGAGCUCCUACCCCUGCCUGCACCAAAGCCAGAUUAUUUGGAACAUUGUUUAUCAAAUAGUAGAUUGCAGUCCAUCAAUGGGUCAUAAAAAUCAACAGAACAAUCGUCUACAUCUUCAUGGCGUCAAAACUCAGUCCUCUGAAUUCUCUCCAAGGACCCAUGUUUGAGAAUUCCUGGCCAAAAGCAUUUGGAAUAAGAAGAUAUUUGCAUUUCCUGAAGGGCCAGCAGCACUCUAAAAGGUGUUUGAAGAAUCUUGAGAAGGGGGGGAAAGAUUACAUCUGCUGUCCCAAACCCACUGGGGGUAAAACUGUUUGCAUCGCACCGCCCAGCUUUCCUCUGAACCUGAAGCCAACGCUCCUCCAGCUCAGACUUCCUAAGUGCUGGCGGCCUUAAUGGGACGCGCCACUCCCCUUAUCCCGCGCGAAGAUCCACGCGCAGCCCCACCAUCGACCGGAGGCCCACCGCGCAGGCGCCGCACCCACCUUGCCCGCCGCCUUCCGAGGCUUGGCGUCCGCCUUGGCAGGAGCAGGCUUAGCCGACAGGCGGGCCGACCUCCGCUUGGGCUGUGGGAGAGAAACUCAUUCAUUCUUGAAGCAGCUUCAAAUGCCAACUCAUUCAUGAAGUUUCCCUCACUCCCACUGAGGCUCCCAGGAAUUGUGCUUCCUAUAUUUUGCCUGUGAGAGAGGUCCUGUGGCAUUUUGUACGUGUGUGAGGUACUGCUGCUCACAUCAUCUACUUUGGCAUCAAGAAAGGCGUGCCUGUGGGACCAGGACCUGGGGCUCCAGGUCAAAUAGACUUCAGUUCAAGAUCAGGCUUGGCCAUUUGCCUGCUGAGCUUUGUGGGCAGGUCAGUGAAUCCCUCCAAGGUCCAUUUCUUCAGCUGCCAAGUGGGACAUUAGUCUCACUUGCCACCCUGUUGUGAGAAUGGAAUGAAGUGCCUGUGGGGAGGAACCUGGUACAGUGCCUGGUACAGAGUGGUAUACAAGUGUCAGUUUUCCUUCUGUGCCACCCUGAGUGGCCCUCUCCAGGCCCCAAUGACAAAAGAGUGACUUCCCUGUCAGUCUGCCCUGCUUGAAUGUGAGCAGCCUUUUCAGACCCAAGACUGAUGAACCUUGGCCAGUCUGGGGUCUGGGAGUUUUUGCUGCCUAAUUGAACCCCUGAGGCAUGGCCAUCCAGGAGACAUCUGUCCAGUCUUGUGGUCUUAGCUUCUCCCCUUCAAUUCACCCUCAACUAUGAAAUGUCAGGCAAGUCAGAAGAUACAGAUGAUAAGCUCAGUCUUAAAGAAGGGAACCAUCUUGCCUGAGGCCAGAUACAGGCACAGAAGAGCCAGGACCUGCUCCCGGACUGUCUGGCUGAACUGUGCUAUUUCUCCCAU